UACGGAGGGUGCGAGCAUUAAUCGGAUUUAUUGGGCGUAAAGGGGGCGUAGGCGGGGAUGAAAGCAAGAUGUGAAAUCCCGGGGCUCAACCCCGGAACUGCAUUUUGAACUCCAUCUCUAUCGAGGAUAGACGGAGAAAACGGAAUUCCACAUGUAGCGGUGAAAUGCGUAGAUAUGUGGAAGAACACCGGUGGCGAAGGCGGUUUUCUAGUUUAUACCUGACGCUGAGGCCCGAAAGCUAGGGGAGCAAACAGG
rnacentral:rRNA from 1 species